AAGGAUUUAAGUUAAAUAAACUAGUAACCUUCAAAGUUAUUUAUAAAGAAUUAUUCUUUAAGCCUUA
rnacentral:tRNA from 1 species